GAUGAAGAACGUAGCGAAAUGCGAUACUUGGUGUGAAUUGCAGAAUCCCGUGAACCAUCGAGUCUUUGAACGCAAGUUGCGCCCGAAGCCAUUAGGCCGAGGGCACGCCUGUCUGGGCGUCACACGUCGUUGCCCCCCCAUCUAAUCCUUCGGGAUUGCGGGGGGCGGAUGAUGGCCUCCCGUGCGCCUCGUCGCGCGGUUGGCAUAAAUGCCAAGUCCUCGGCGACGCACGCCACGACAAUCGGUGGUUGCGAAACCUCGGUUGCCCGUCGUGUGCGGUCGUCGCGCAUCGAGGGCUCGAAAAAAUUGCCGGGCUCCGGCUCGACUUUCAACGCGACCCCAGGUCAGGCGGGGUUACCCGCUGAAUUUAAGCAUAUCAAUAAGCGGAGGA
rnacentral:misc_RNA from 1 species